AUGAACGCUGGCGGCGUGCCUAAUACAUGCAAGUCGAGCGAACGGACGAGAAGCUUGCUUCUCUAAUGUUAGCGGCGGACGGGUGAGUAACACGUGGAUAACCUACCUAUAAGACUGGGAUAACUUCGGGAAACCGGAGCUAAUACCGGAUGAUAUUUUGAACCGCAUGGUUCAAAAGUGAAAGACGGUCUUGCUGUCACUUAUAGAUGGAUCCGCGCUGCAUUAGCUAGUUGGUAAGGUAACGGCUUACCAAGGCAACGAUGCAUAGCCGACCUGAGAGGGUGAUCGGCCACACUGGAACUGAGACACGGUCCAGACUCCUACGGGAGGCAGCAGUAGGGAAUCUUCCGCAAUGGGCGAAAGCCUGACGGAGCAACGCCGCGUGAGUGAUGAAGGUCUUCGGAUCGUAAAACUCUGUUAUUAGGGAAGAACAUAUGUGUAAGUAACUGUGCACAUCUUGACGGUACCUAAUCAGAAAGCCACGGCUAACUACGUG
rnacentral:rRNA from 1 species